UUGAACGCUGGCGGCAUGCUUUACACAUGCAAGUCGAACGGUAACAGGUCUUCGGAUGCUGACGAGUGGCGAACGGGUGAGUAAUGCAUCGGAACGUGCCCAGUCGUGGGGGAUAAUGCAGCGAAAGCUGUGCUAAUACCGCAUACGAUCUAUGGAUGAAAGCGGGGGAUCGCAAGACCUCGCGCGAUUGGAGCGGCCGAUGUCAGAUUAGCUAGUUGGUGGGGUAAAGGCCCACCAAGGCGACGAUCUGUAGCUGGUCUGAGAGGAUGAUCCGCCACACUGGGACUGAGACACGGCCCAGACUCCUACGGGAGGCAGCAGUGGGGAAUUUUGGACAAUGGGGGCAACCCUGAUCCAGCCAUGCCGCGUGAGUGAAGAAGGCCUUCGGGUUGUAAAGCUCUUUCAGACGGAAAGAAAACGCAUCGGUGAAUACCCGGUGUGGAUGACGGUACCGUAAGAAGAAGCACCGGCUAACUACGU
rnacentral:rRNA from 1 species